rnacentral:lncRNA from 1 species
UUCUGAUAUUCCAGAUUACCAUUGGUUUAGUGAGAAUAAAGCUCUUUCUGAUUACAGAAGGACUUCUACAUUGCGGUUUUGUCUCUGACUUCAUCAUGAGGUUUCUGGUUUCACAGCCUCUGCUGGUGUUCAUAUCAGUCCUGUCACUGACCAGAACACAAUCAACAUCUGCACCAAUAACAUUAUCAACAGAAGGCAUUACAACAACACCUGAACCAAACACAACAACACUGGCAGAAACCACUACAGAAACUACAUCAGUCACACCAGAAACUACAACAACAACUGCUCCAACAACAACAUUGACAGAAACCUCUACAGAAACCACAUCAGUCACACCAGAAACUACAACAACAACUGCUCCAACAACAACAUUGACAGGUACGUAUAGACCUUUGAAUUAGAACCAAAUGUGUUUUUAAAAAACGUCUCCCAUUAUGAACCAAAGAAAUUAGUGAGUAAUGAGCAUCGGCUAUCGGAGAGAUUUUUUUUUUUUUUUUUCAUUUUUUUAAAGGUAUUUAAUGGUGUUUGUAUUUGUGUUCAUUCCUUCCACGAAACCUCUACACGUAACCACAUCAGUCACACCAGGUAAUAAAACUGCAAGUGAUUUAAACAAUCAUCUUAUGGCCUUGCAGGAUUAUUUUUUAUUUUUUUUAUUUUUAUUUUUUGUAAUGUAGUUUACAGAAGUUUGUUAUAAACAUAUUUUUCUUUAAUAGAAACUACAGCAACAACUGCUCCAACAACAACAUUGACAGGUACGUAACAGCCGCUGCAACAACAACUCCAUGGACAGGUAUUUAUCCACUUUUUAAUUGUUUUUGUCGGAACCAAUGUUCCCUCUAAGCUGCGCGCGCGCGCGGCCGCGCACUUCUUCCACCGCAGCCGCGCAGAAGAAAUAAUGUGCCGCGCACACGCAUAAAUGAGUUGGGAAAGCCAUUUGCGAAAGCGAAUGAAUUGCAAUGCUCGGAUAAACCGCUACAGAGUUGGUAUCACGAUAGAGUUAGAACCGGUGAAUGUGGUUAGUUUCAUAGAAAAGGAAUGUGCGGCAAAUGAAUCGCUGUAGAAACCGAAUAUUUUAAUGGUUGCGUACGAAAUAGCUCAAAUCGUGCGCCGACGCAAACGCAAUGACAUGAAAUAAAACGUCAUCAUGUAUUAAAAGAAGAGCGGCUUGAUUAAGUGCUGGAAACAGCGGAUGAUGGGCACAGAACGGUAACAAAACUCAGAGACAUUUACAGUCACACACAGGUGUAGUUUACAUAGCUAUAGAAGAAUUGACGGUCACGUUUUUUUUUUUAAAUAUUUAACUUACAGAUCUCAGUUUAAAAUGCUUCAGUUUCUGUUCUAUUCUAUCAGUUUAAAUGCUUCAGUUUCUAUUCUAUUGUAUUCUAUUCUAUCAGUUUAAAUGCUUCAGUUUCUAUUCUAUCAGUUUAAAUGCUUCAGUUUCUAUUCUAUUCUAUUCUAUUCUAUCAGUUUAAAUGCUUCAGUUUCUAUUCUGUUCUGUUCUAUUCUAUUCUAUUCUAUUCUAUUCUAUUCUAUCAGUUUGAAUACUUUUUUUUUCAGUUUGUUUGUAUAUAUUAUUGUUAGGCAUCAAGGAUGUAUUUAUUUUAUCGAAAAUACAGAAGAAAAAACAGUAAUAUUGUGAAACAUUAUUGCAAUUUCUAAUAUUGGUUUCCUGUUUUAAUAUACUUUAAAAUAUAAUUUAUUCCCGAGGAGCAAAGCUGAAUUUUCAGCAUCAUUACUCCAGCCUUCAGUGUCAUAUUAUCCUUCAGAAAUCAUUCUAAUAUGCUGAUUUACUAUCAGUGUUGAAUCUGUUGUAAUGCUUAAUAUUUUUACUUAUUUUUUGUUUUUUAUUUUUAUUUUUGGAACAUGUGAUACUUUUUUCUUUGAUUCUUAGAUUAAUAAAAAGUUAAAAAGAACAGCAUUUAUUCAAAAUAGAACUCUUUUCUAAAAAAUAUGUCUUUAUUAUCACUUUUUUAUCCUAUUUUAACACUAUUCUUACUGAAUAAAAGUAUAAAAAUAAGAAAAAAGAAAAAAAGAAAAAAAAUUACUAGACCACAAACUUUUUAGUAGUGUAUAUUGUAACACAAAAUUUCUAUUUUGAAUAAACACUGUCCUUUUUAACUUUUUAUUUAUCAAAGAAUCCCCAAAAAAAUCACAAGUCCCCAAAAAAUAUUAAGCAGCACAACAGUUUCCAGCACUGAUAAUAAAUCAGCAUAUUAGAAUGAUUUCUGAAGGAUCAUGUGACACUGAAGACAGGAGUAAUGAUGCUGAAAAUUGCUUUGCUUCAUAGGAAUAAAUUAUAUUUUAAAGUAUAUUAAAAUAGAAAACUUUUAUUUUAAAUUGCAAUAAUAUUUCACAGUAUUAUUUUGUGAAAUAAUAUUCAGUAAGUUUUAUCAGGUAAUCUAAAAUGGUACAUCAUUUAGUCACGGUCAAAUCAAAUACAAAUAGCACAUUAAAGUUAAAAGUUACACACUUUUUUGUGUGCGCGCU